GGAUCGAUGAUGACUCCCACAAAUGCAUUCCUUGGAAAUCUGAACAAAAUGAGUGAUACAUCCCUACCGUCUCCUCAUCGGAACUGAGGUCC
ensembl:snoRNA SNORD116 Small nucleolar RNA SNORD116